AUAAAGCGCCAGAGCUGAGUAUGCCGAUAAAAUAUGCAGCCAAAUAUUUAGACAUAUUCAGUUGACGAGGAUGGGGUUUAUCGAAUUCUUCGGCGGGUGCCCCGCGGUAAUCACACUACCGUUAACGACCGGCAAAAGCAUAAAGUGAUUUGUGCCACAAAUCCGGU
rnacentral:ncRNA from 1 species